rnacentral:sRNA from 1 species
CUCACUCUGUAGUUCAGAGUUAUUAAUGAAACAAGUAAGUAAAGAAAGACCUAGAUUCAUUUGCGUAACCGUUUGUGUUUUAAGAGUUUCCCUUGGCUUCAUCGUAACAUCGAUAAUUCGAAUCUCAGCAAAUCGCAUUGGCGAUUUUUUUCCUCAACGAAUUUAUAUAAGGGACAUAAUAUGUCUAAAACAACUGGUAGCGUAAAAUGGUUCAACGAAACUAAAGGUUUCGGUUUCCUAACUCAAGACAACGGCGGCGCUGACGUAUUCGUACACUUCCGUGCAAUCGCUUCUGAAGGUUUCAAAACUCUUGCUGAAGGCCAAAAAGUGUCUUUUGAAGUAGAGCAAGGCCCUAAAGGUCUUCAAGCAGCAAACGUUGUUGCUGAGUAAUUCUUACUUUAAGUAAAGAAUUUCAAAAGGUCGCUCAUUGAGCGGCCUUUUUUG